AGUCACUUGUGCUCCAGGCAGAUUUGGAGACUGAAGACUAUCUGAUUGAUAGUCCAAAACCAAACCAUGUCUCCCUGAAGAUGGUAGGUCUCUCUAGAGGAAGGUGAACCCAACUUUUUCCUCUGAACUGUCCUUCAUUAGACAUCCAACCCUGGAUUAGGCAGUGGGAGUACCAAAUGUGGAACAGAUAUGAGUGGAAGUGUGAUACUGAAAUGUAACUGGCAACUGAGAACUCCCUUCAAGUGAUGGAAUGGAGACUCAAAGGAUUCUAAUUCUUCGGUCUCCUCCCCCACCAGAGAAAUCUAAAGCCUGAAUACCAUCAUUGAGCAAUUUAAAAUGUUCCAUUGAGGUCACUGGAUACAGGGAUAUGAUUCCUGUUUUCUCUGACACUUGUGAAAUCCCCUAGGGACAGGGACUGUGUCUACUUCCCAUCUUUGCAUUCUUCCUCUACGGGUCUAAUUAUUUGACUUUCCUGCUUACAGUAUUUGGAAGGAAAGAAAGCGUGGGGAAAAACCAAAUAAAUACUAGCAACAAUUUCUCUAAUUUUCUAGUGUCCCCCUUCACCAUGUCAUCUAAGAACUGAGUUUAAGUAGUUUUUUAUAGUAAUUUCAGAAAAUAAUUGACCCUACAAUGCUUGUAAAAAGGAGACUGAGAUUUUACGCCAAUGACAGCAGCAAAAAUGGCAACCCAGCUACUUGCCAGGACAGUGAUUUUGCCACCUAUGAAGGAGACAUUGGAAAUUUGCAGGUGAAGGGUUAUCUUCCAUAUGCUGAGGAAAUUAAAAGGAUGGACAGGAUCUGGGAUGUUUCAGUAAACUAACAAACCUAAAAUGAAAAUAUUCCACCUCUCAUUUAUGGCUAUUUGGAGAUUUCUACUAUUCAUAACUUUAAAGCUUUAAGAUCUGUUGGUAUUUUUCAAGAGUAAUGUAAAUCACCUAAAGAACCUUAUUGCCAAAAAAAGCUGCUGUUUCCAACCUGAAUAAAAGUUUGGGACCAUCUUCAAAGAUCUGGAAGUGUUCUAACUAACCAGGACAUGAGUUUGGGCUAAAGUAUAUGGAGAGAAAAAGAUUAUGGAAUUUUGAUUUUGUGGAAUUUCUAUAAACAAAAACUGACUCAGUCCCCCAAAGCUUGAUAAGAAAAUCACUUAGGGAAGAAUAAUGUAUUUGACAAAACUGAACUUCUACGUGAAGCAUCUGUUGGAAGCUGUACUUGGGAAGUAAGUAAAAUUGCAGCCUGUGAUCACUGGAGAGC